rnacentral:rRNA from 1 species
AGUCACGAGUUUGAUCCUGGCUCAGAUUGAACGCUGGCGGAAUGCUUUACACAUGCAAGUCGAGCGGCAGCGCGGGGGCAACCCUGGCGGCGAGCGGCGAACGGGUGAGUAACAUAUCGGAACGUACCCAGUCGUGGGGGAUAACUAUCCGAAAGGAUAGCUAAUACCGCAUACGUCCUGAGGGAGAAAGCGGGGGAUCGCAAGACCUCGCGCGAUUGGAGCGGCCGAUAUCGGAUUAGCUAGUUGGUGGGGUAAAGGCUCACCAAGGCGACGAUCCGUAGCGGGUCUGAGAGGACGACCCGCCACACUGGAACUGAGACACGGUCCAGACUCCUACGGGAGGCAGCAGUGGGGAAUUUUGGACAAUGGGCGCAAGCCUGAUCCAGCCAUGCCGCGUGAGUGAAGAAGGCCUUCGGGUUGUAAAGCUCUUUCAGCCGGGAAGAAAACGCAUGGGUUAAUACCCUGUGUGGAUGACGGUACCGGAAUAAGAAGCACCGGCUAACUACGUG